CCUGCAGUUCAGACUAGGUGAUUCAUCUGAAGCUAAGCCAGUUUGGGCCUGACCAGUACUUGGGUGGGAGACCAACUAGGAAAUCUGGGUGGCUACUGGA
rnacentral:rRNA from 1 species